AGGUGAAACACAGGAAGUACAGGUGAAACACAUGGUAAAUACAGGUGAAACACAUGGUAAAUACAGGUGAAACACAUGGUAAAUACAGGUGAAACACAGGAAGUACAGGUGAAACACAUGGUAAAUACAGGUGAAACACAGGGUAAAUACAGGUGAAACACAGGGUAAAUACAGGUGAAACACAGGGUAAAUACAGGUGAAACACAGGGUAAAUACAGGUGAAACACAGGAAGUACAGGUGAAACACAUGGUAAAUACAGGUGAAACACAGGGUAAAUACAGGUGAAACACAGGGUAAAUACAGGUGAAACACAGGAAGUACAGGUGAAACACAGGAAGUACAGGUGAAACACAUGGUAAAUACAGGUGAAACACAUGGUAAAUACAGGUGAAACACAUGGUAAAUACACGUGUUUCACCUGUA